UCGGCCCAAAUUCCUGCGGGGCUACUGCACGCGUGGGGCUCCCCCCCUUUUUUCUCCCUCCACGCCGUUUUUGGAGAGCAGCGCGGCUCGGAGAGACGCCGGCCCGGCAGGGACGGGACUACUUUCGGGUACGGAGCGGCGGCACAAAGGCGGCAGCUCCUCCUCCUCCUCCUCCAGAAUAUGUUGCCUGGUGCCCAGGAUGAGAACUGCAUUUCUUUGUGCUGAAAACAUCCUUACAACAAAAACUUCACAGAGGAGAAGGUGCUUGAGUUCAGCUGAGCAUACAGUGGGUAGGACUUUGAUCCCCCAGCCUCCAUCUACAGAUUCAGGGAAAUGAAAGACUUGUGAAGCCGGUCUACCAGUGCAGACAGAGGCAAAGA